rnacentral:rRNA from 1 species
UUGUGAUAACCGCUGAAAGCAUCUAAGCGGGAAGCCAUCUCCAAGAUGAAUUCUCUCUAUUGAACCUCCCGGGAGACUACCGGGUUGAUAGGCUGCAGGUCUGCGCGCAGUAAUGCGUUUAGCCGAGCAGUACUAAUAGGUCAUUGCAUUUUUUUC